UAACUGACUCUCUCCCUCUUCUCUCUCUCCUGUAACCCUUCAAUUCUUCAAGCCAUAGCUAACAAACACUUCAGCUGUGAUGGACGGAUUUGGGCCCGACAAUUAUCGCACGGUGUGGGAGGUUGGAACAGACUAGGGCGGCUGGGAUCUGAACAGCCACUGAAGAAGGCACCGGAACCUGACCGGAGAUGCUCACCAGCAGUUACAGCAUAUUGAGAGAGAGAGAGAGAAAGAGAUAAGAGAGAGGGAUAGAUUUCAUUUCAUUAAGCAUAAAAUGUCAAUUGCGAUUACAGCUAACUAAUUGACAGCUCAAUUAACUCAAUCUCCAUUAAUCUUCUUAACGAUAGUUUAUUCAAUCUCCCUCUCUUCUUCUUCACUCCUUUUCACGUAUCAGAGGUUUUUGGAGAUUUCAAUGGUAGACGCAUGGCCUUGAUCAGAGCUCUCACCAUUGAUGCUAAGGAAUUCACCCGACAGUGUGAUCCUGGAAAUAUCUAUUCGAUGUGAUAAAUGAUCUCCCAACCAUUUUAGAAGUUGUGACACACGAUGCAAAAUAUAAGCAAGCAAUAGCAUUGGAGAGAAUGUCAGGGCCCCAACCAAAUGAUGAGGCCAAGUAUGAGGGAUCGAAUGAAGAGGGCAAGGGAUCGGACGAAGAGGAUGAAGACGAACAUGAGGAAACCUUGUGCAGAUCAUGUGGUGAAUAUUACAACACCAAUGAAUUCUGUAUUUGCUGUGACCUAUGCCAGAGAUGGUUCCAUGGGAGGUGCGUCAAUAUCACACCUGCUGAGGCGGAGCACAUCACUCAGUUCAAAUGUCCAACCUGUACGAACGAGAGAGCCCGGCCUUGACGCCCGCCUUCCAAUGCUAGUAUAAUUGGUCUUGGUUGUGUACAGUGCUAGUCAUUUUAUAUCUGGAAUAGUUUACUCUUAGCUACAUAUUUCAGUUAACCAGUAACAUCUACAGUUGGAGAUGUUUUGUGCCCAAUUUAGCACACAGCUUUGUAUGCAUACUCUUCACACAUUGUUGCGUAGUUUCCAUCUACGACUCGUUUGCUAUGUAUGAUAAUCCAAUGUAGAGAUAAGAUAGUAAAUGGGCUGUGGUAUUACACUUACGGAUAAUAUGCUAUCUAUGCCACCCGUUUAGUAGAAAAGUUAACUUUUGCAGAAAAA